CGCGGCCUAUCAGCUUGUUGGUGGGGUAAUGGCCUACCAAGGCGGCGACGGGUGGCCGGCCUGAGAGGGUGUACGGCCACAUUGGGACUGAGAUACGGCCCAGACUCCUACGGGAGGCAGCAGUGGGGAAUAUUGCACAAUGGGCGCAAGCCUGAUGCAGCGACGCCGUGUGGGGGAUGAAGGCCUUCGGGUUGUAAACUCCUUUCGCUAGGGACGAAGCUUUUUGUGACGGUACCUAGAUAAGAAGCACCGGCUAACUACGUGCCAGCAGCCGCGGUAAUACGUAGGGUGCGAGCGUUGUCCGGAAUUACUGGGCGUAAAGGGCUCGUAGGUGGUUUGUCGCGUCGUCUGUGAAAUUCUGGGGCUUAACUCCGGGCGUGCAGGCGAUACGGGCAUAACUUGAGUGCUGUAGGGGUAACUGGAAUUCCUGGUGUAGCGGUGAAAUGCGCAGAUAUCAGGAGGAACACCGAUGGCGAAGGCAGGUUACUGGGCAGUUACUGACGCUGAGGAGCGAAAGCAUGGGUAGCGAACAGGAUUAGAUACCCUGGUAGUCCAUGCCGUAAACGGUGGGCGCUAGGUGUGAGGGUCUUUCUACGACUUUCGUGCCGUAGCUAACGCAUUAAGCGCCCCGCCUGGGGAGUACGG
rnacentral:rRNA from 1 species